UUUGAUCCUGGCUCAGAAUGAACGCUGGCGGCGUGCCUAACACAUGCAAGUCGAACGAGAAACUCCGAGCUUGCUCGGAGGAGUAAAGUGGCGCACGGGUGAGUAACGCGUGGGUAACCUGCCCUUGAAUCUGGGAUAACUUCGCGAAAGCGUUGCUAAUACCGGAUAUUGUCUUUUAAACUAUGGUUUUUUGGAUGAAAGGUGACCUCUUCAUGAAAGUUACCGUUUGAGGAGGGGCUCGCGUACCAUUAGCUUGUUGGUGGGGUAAUGGCCUACCAAGGCGACGAUGGUUAGCUGGUCUGAGAGGAUGAUCUGCCACACUGGAACUGAGACACGGUCCAGACUCCUACGGGAGGCAGCAGUGAGGAAUUUUGCGCAAUGGGGGAAACCCUGACGCAGCAACGCCGCGUGAGUGAAGAAGGCCUUCGGGUCGUAAAGCUCUGUCAAGUGGGAAAAAAGUCUUUUGAUUAAUAGUCAAAAGGCCUGAUGGUACUACUAAAGGAAGCACCGGCUAACUCCGUGCCAGCAGCCGCGGUAAUACGGAGGGUGCAAGCGCUGUUCGGAAUUACUGGGCAUAAAGAGCGUGUAGGCGGUAUGGUAAGUCAGAUGUGAAAGCCCUGGGCUUAACCCAGGAAGUGCAUUUGAUACUGCCAUUCUUGAGUAUGGGAGAGGAGAGUGGAAUUCCCAGUGUAGAGGUGAAAUUCGUAGAUAUUGGGAGGAACACCCGUGGCGAAGGCGACUCUCUGGACCAAUACUGACGCUGAGACGCGAAAGCGUGGGGAGCAAACAGGAUUAGAUACCCUGGUAGUCCACGCCGUAAACGAUGAGAACUAGGUGUAGCGGGUAUUGACCCCUGCUGUGCCGAAGUUAACGCAUUAAGUUCUCCGCCUGGGGAGUACGGCCGCAAGGCUAAAACUCAAAGGAAUUGACGGGGACCCGCACAAGCGGUGGAGCAUGUGGUUUAAUUCGACGCAACGCGAAGAACCUUACCUGGAUUUGACAUCCUCUGACAAUCUCGGAAACGAGGCUUUCCCUGCUUGCAGGGACAGAGUGACAGGUGCUGCAUGGCUGUCGUCAGCUCGUGUCGUGAGAUGUUGGGUUAAGUCCCGCAACGAGCGCAACCCUUGUUUUUAGUUGCCAGUAUUAAGUUAGGCACUCUAAAGAUACUGCCUCGGUUAACGGGGAGGAAGGUGGGGAUGACGUCAAGUCCUCAUGGCCUUUAUAUCCAGGGCUACACACGUGCUACAAUGGGCUGUACAAAGAGCUGCAACUCCGUGAGGAGAAGCCAAUCUCAAAAAACAGUUCUCAGUUCGGAUUGGAGUCUGCAACUCGACUCCAUGAAGUUGGAAUCGCUAGUAAUCGUGGAUCAGCAUGCCACGGUGAAUACGUUCCC
rnacentral:rRNA from 1 species